rnacentral:rRNA from 1 species
AGUCGAACGGUAACAGGUUAAGCUGACGAGUGGCGAACGGGUGAGUAAUAUAUCGGAACGUGCCCAGUCGUGGGGGAUAACUACUCGAAAGAGUGGCUAAUACCGCAUACGACCUGAGGGUGAAAGCGGGGGAUCGCAAGACCUCGCGCGAUUGGAGCGGCCGAUAUCAGAUUAGGUAGUUGGUGGGGUAAGGGCCCACCAAGCCAACGAUCUGUAGCUGGUCUGAGAGGACGACCAGCCACACUGGGACUGAGACUCGGCCCAGACUCCUACGGGAGGCAGCAGUGGGGAAUUUUGGACAAUGGGCGCAAGCCUGAUCCAGCCAUGCCGCGUGCGGGAAGAAGGCCUUCGGGUUGUAAACCGCUUUUGUCAGGGAAGAAACGGCUCUCUCUAAUACAGAGGGCUAAUGACGGUACCUGAAGAAUAAGCACCGGCUAACUACGUGCCAGCAGCCGCGGUAAUACGUAGGGUGCAAGCGUUAAUCGGAAUUACUGGGCGUAAAGCGUGCGCAGGCGGUUAUGCAAGACAGAGGUGAAAUCCCCGGGCUCAACCUGGGAACUGCCUUUGUGACUGCAUGGCUAGAGUACGGUAGAGGGGGAUGGAAUUCCGCGUGUAGCAGUGAAAUGCGUAGAUAUGCGGAGGAACACCGAUGGCGAAGGCAAUCCCCUGG